AGAGCGAACGCUGGCGGCAGGCUUAACACAUGCAAGUCGAGCGGGCGUAGCAAUACGUCAGCGGCAGACGGGUGAGUAACGCGUGGGAACAUACCUUUUGGUUCGGAACAACACAGGGAAACUUGUGCUAAUACCGGAUAAGCCCUUACGGGGAAAGAUUUAUCGCCGAAAGAUUGGCCCGCGUCUGAUUAGCUAGUUGGUGAGGUAACGGCUCACCAAGGCGACGAUCAGUAGCUGGUCUGAGAGGAUGAUCAGCCUCACUGGGACUGAGACACGGCCCAGACUCCUACGGGAGGCAGCAGUGGGGAAUAUUGGACAAUGGGCGCAAGCCUGAUCCAGCCAUGCCGCGUGGGUGAUGAAGGCCCUAGGGUUGUAAAGCCCUUUCGGCGGGGAAGAUAAUGACGGUACCCGCAGAAGAAGCCCCGGCUAACUUCGUGCCAGCAGCCGC
rnacentral:rRNA from 1 species